GACUCUCGCCUCAUCUCUCGGUGCCCCCUCCCGCCGCAUCCCCAUCCCCUUCUCUUCUUUGUGGAUGCGCCCGCCCAGGCCGCCGGUGACCCUCACCAUCAGAGCCCUCCCCCACGUCGUCGUCGGAGGGAGUUGUCGCUUUGGCUAGGAUAGGGUCUUUGCCGAGGGUGGAGGUGCCCCAGUUCCCCAUCUCCCCGCCUCAGUGAUGGAGAGGUGCGAGAUGGAUGUGGGGAGGAGCGGGCAUGGUGCAGUGGCUGAAGCAGGCGUUGGCGUGGUGGCGGCGUCGGGAGCGGUUGGAGGCGACCACGGGCAUCCAGUCGUAACGGCAGGGGGCGAUGUGGCUGCUCGAGGUCCGGUUCAUCUUGGAUGUCACGGAGGUAACCCAUAUCCGAGCAGUACUUCACUCCAAUCGCAUGACACGCUGCUCCCAGUGAGGCUAAAUCCCCAUAUUAUCCAUCCAAAUCUGUCGUGUUCUCUGAAUGAUGUGCUGUGAGCUUCAUGGUUGGGUGAAGACUCCUGCUUAAAGUUUUCGAUCUACACAGUUUCCGGGAUGGAUGAGUGGUGUGACUAAUUUGUUUCUGACAAUUCCAAGGUUUCCGUGUGGUUUCAGUAAAAUUUGUUGAUUGGGAUAAGUUUGAUUGAUCUGAUGAUUUUGUCGUUUCUUUCUGUCAAGAAAAGGUUGAUCUCAUGUUGUUUAUUUUUUAGUAUAUGGGAUUUAUUUUGCAGGACAGAAUUUUGUGGGCAGAGUGGUAAGAACUGACAAUUAAUUGACUUAAUUAAUUCCAUAUUUUGUGUUUGCAUUAUAAAUCAGUUCAGUUUUUAUGCAAAAUAUCUUUGCACCUGUGUUCAUCUGCUCCUCUGACCACUCCAUGCCAUGCGUAUGUGCAGUCCUUGCCUCAUUGGACAUGUUCACUCUCAUGGCGAGCCUCAGUGGCCUGUGGCCGCCAGCGUGCCCUCUCGGUGCCUGCCGGUGCAAGAAGGCAUCGACGGGGCAGAUGGUGGCCCUGUACACUGGUUUGUGCCUGCUCUGCCUGAAUUUCGAAAAUAAGUUUUCAUGAGUUCUUCAAGUUAAGUAGAUUUCGUGUAUGGAUUUCUUUUCCUAGCAUUAACUUUUACUUGUGUUUAUUCGGUUUGUACGCAAGAAUUCUAGAGCCAUGGAUGCAAGAAAAUAGAUUUGGGUCUGGUAUUCUAAUAUGAGUCGUUUUGAGAAGUGAAAAAUGAAGACUCUUAAUUGCAAACCAGUAACGGAAGAAGAAAUAAAAUUUUAUUGAUCCCAAAUGACAAUGGAUCUGCUCUCUGUUUCUAUAAGUUCAUUUCAUUCUGCAAGCUUCUCCAAUAAUUACCUAUAAUUUUUCAGAUAUAGCAUUGCGAAUCGUCUGAACUUUCUUGUGAACAUUGCAGGCAGCGCCAAUAUUCAUGCACUUGAAAAACCUCGGACAGUGAAGAACAUGGGAGUGCAAGGGCACAUUAUGUAUUCUUGAUAUAAUGGUUUCAAGCCUUUUGAUGGAAGCUCAUGUAUCUUCCUAGCAAGGCUGAUGGACUCUGGUGCUUGGUUUAUUAGGUGAUAACUAAAACGAACAUUCUUUGGCUGACAUUUGAAGUAAGAUUAAAAACAACCUACAGAACAAACUGGAGAUGGUACACAUCAGAUGGCUCCCUCCCAUGGAGAAUGAACUGAAGAUUAAUAUUGAUGGCGCUUUCCACCCUGAACCAAACACUGGUGGUUGGGGUGCAGUCAUCAGGAAUCAUAAAGGAGAGGUAAAAGUAUGUGGGUGCCUAGCUAGGAAUGGAUAAAGGAGUGACAGCCAUUGGCCUUGAAACAGAUUCAGUGCUGCUGAAGCAAGGGGUAAACAAUGAUGAAUGAGGCCUCUCUGCUGUCUACCUAGGCUUAGAGGAGCUCAAGGAAUAUCUGAAGCAAAACUUUGAAGUGUGUCAUUUUACUUCUGCUAGGAGGAACUGUAAUAAAGUAGGCCGUUGUUUUGCUAGCUAUGGUAGUACCUUAGCAUGUAUGAUCAUCUUCAAACAGAUCAUGUAAUUCCACUUGUAUCGGACCUGGUGGCGACUCUUCUCUAAUUUCUGCAUACAUCUCCCCUAGAUAUGGACCACCCUGCUUUUGCAUUAUCUGUUUUCAAACAACAAGAAACUUAGUUCUGUAAAUUCAUAAAACUAAUAUGCCAGUUAGAAUGCGCGAGUAUAUGCACCCUUUGCUUUUAAAUAAAAAGUUGUGUAAAAUAAACUGAUGUGUAAAGCUUGAUCAUUCUAAUUUGUGUUAAUUAAGUACAUAUGUACAUUAUUGAGGGGAUGAUCUAAGGUAAUGAAGCAUAAGGGGAUUAAAUAAAGUUUUAUUUAGUAGGUGUGAUCUAUCAUAGAU